GGGUUCGAUUCCGGAGAGGGAGCCUGAGAAACGGCUACCACUUCCAAGGAAGGCAGCAGGCGCGUAAAUUACCCAAUCCCGACACGGGGAGGUAGUGACAAUAAAUACCGAUGCAGGUCUUAUACAAAGUCUUGUGAUUGGAAUGAGUACAAUUCAAACCCCUUAACGACUAACAAUUGGAGGGCAAGUCUGGUGCCAGCAGC
rnacentral:rRNA from 1 species